UGUCCUCUAAACAAGCAUGCACCAUG
rnacentral:misc_RNA from 1 species